UGGUUGGUAAGUACAAUAGGAGAAACGGAUAAUAAUAACACCUCUUGAAAAUUUAACGCGCAGUACUCUCCGCUCCUUAAACUUUAAAUGUAUAAUAUGCUUAUAAUUCAUAAAAGAUCAUUAUUAUUCGAUAUAUAUUCGAUGGCUUUUAUAUAGGGUGUCCCACGAAGAUAUACCAUUAUAAUAUCUCUGGAGAUAAUAAAGAUAAUUAAAUU